rnacentral:ncRNA from 2 species
UUGAAUAAUGUGGAAUUAGGUGCUUCAGUUGAACGAAUUGAAGCUUAAAAGGGAAGUUCGGUGUAAUACCGACGCGGUCCCGCCACUGUAACAGAGGAGUCACUGCUAUAUAGCCACUGAUUGUAUAAUCGGGAAGGUAAGCAGAUGGAUUACGAUUCUGGAGCCAGGAGACCUGCCUAUUUUGACAGCACUGC